UGGGGAUAUUGCACAAUGGAGGAAACUCUGAUGCAGCAACGCCGCGUGAGGGAAGAAGGUCUUCGGAUUGUAAACCUUAGUAGUCAGGGACGAAAGAAAUGACGGUACCUGAAGAGUAAGCUCCGGCUAACUACGUGCCAGCAGCCGCGGUAAUACGUAGGGAGCGAGCGUUGUCCGGAUUUACUGGGUGUAAAGGGUGCGUAGGCGGGACUGCAAGUCAGACGUGAAAUACCGAGGCUUAACUUCGGGGCUGCGUUUGAAACUGUGGUUCUUGAGUGAAGUAGAGGCAGGCGGAAUUCCUAGUGUAGCGGUGAAAUGCGUAGAUAUUAGGAGGAACACCAGUGGCGAAGGCGGCCUGCUGGGCUUUAACUGACGCUGAAGCACGAAAGCAUGGGGAGCAAACAGGAUUAGAUACCCUGGUAGUCCAUGCCGUAAACGAUGAUAGCUAGGUGUGGGGGGACUGACCCCUUCCGUGCCGCAGCAAACGCAAUAAGCUAUCCACCUGGGGAGUACGACCGCAAGGUUGAAACUCAAAUGAAUUGACGGGGUCAUAGCUGUUUUCCU
rnacentral:rRNA from 1 species